rnacentral:rRNA from 1 species
GUUACAAGUGUCACACGGAACUGCCGGUCAUAAACCGGAGGAAGUGGGGAUGACGUCAAGUCAGCAUGGCCUUUAUAUCCUGGGCUACACACACGCUACAAUGGGAAGGGACAAUAGGUUGCGAAGCCGCGAGGCGGAGCCAAUCCAGCAAACUUCCCUCAGUUCAGAUUGCAGGCUGCAACCCGCCUGCAUGAAGUUGGAGUUGCUAGUAAACGCAGGUCAGCCAUACUGCGUUGAAUACGUUCCCGGGCUU